rnacentral:lncRNA from 1 species
AUUUCUUGGGCCGCUCUAGUGGCAUAUGGAGGUUCUCAGGCUAGGGGUAUAAUUCGAGCUAUAGCCGCCGGCCUACGCCAGAGCCACAGCAAUGCAGGAUCCAAGCCGCGUAUGCGACCAACACCACAGCUCACAGCAACGCCACUGAGCAAGGGCAGGGAUCGAACCCGCAACCUCAUGGUUCCUAGUCAGAUUAGCUAACCAUUGCGCCACAACGGAACUCCACCUUUCCCUUUUUCAGAAUUCAUAUAAUGGAAUCAGACAUUAUGGUGUCUGCUGUGUCUAGUUGCUUUCACUUAGCAUAAUGCCUCUGUGAUUCAUCCAUGUUAUCGGUAGUUUAUAUCAUUUAUCAGUAGCUCAUUCAGUUUUAUUGCUAAGUCCAUUGUAUGGGUAUGAUAUAUAUUACAAAAUCAUCAUAAAACUACUUCUAGUUUUUUUGGCUAUAAUGAAUUAAUCUUCUAUGAAUAUUCAUGCACUGGCCCUUAUGUAUAUAUAGCUACAUUUCUCUUGAGUAAAAUACCUAGGAGUGGGAUUGCUGCAUGUAUGGAAAGAGUGUGUUUAACUUUUUAAAAAAAUGUGAACUGACAGUUCCAGUUGAACUACAUUCUUGCUGAUACUCGGUAUUAUCAGUCUUUUUAAUUUUAGCCAUUUCAGUGGUGAUUUAAUAAUAUCUCACUGGGUUUUAUUUUGUAUUAUGUCUCAUGCAUAUUUUUUCCUUGAUAAAACAUCUAUUCAAACUUUCCAUUUAAGGAAACCAGGUUGCUUAUCUUAUUGUUAUGGAGUUGUAAGAGUCUUUAUAUAUCCUAGACAUAAGACUUUUAUUAUAUAUGCCUUGAAAGUAUUUUUUUCCCCAGCCUUGGACAUGUUUUUUCAUUUUCUUAACAUCAGCUUACUCAGCCGUGAUCUUUGUUAGGUCUUCAGUUUUCACCAGACUAUGACCUUUGCAGAGAAGUUUUAUUUCUGCCUUAGGUUUUUCAUCUUUAGCUAAACCCAAUUCUUACAACAUUUUACAUGUCUCUAUAAGCUUCUUUUGUUUGUAGAAGAUGAGGAAUAAGCAGAAUUAAAAACAUGAAGAGAAGAAUUGGAAUAAAGUCAGAUGUGGACAAUUUGAGGAGAAUAUGGCAAAAAAGGGUAAAUUGUGUUGAUUAUUCUACCGUGUCUUUUAAAUUUCCUGUCUCAAAGUUAAAAGAACUUCCAUUUUAAAAAAUUUUAUAUCUUCUCGUAUGGAAAAUUUAUUUGUAGGUUUUUUUGUUUUUUUGUUUUUUAAGGGCUGCACCCUCAGCAUAUGGAAGUUCCCUGGCUAGGAGUUGAAUGGGAGCUGCAGCUGCAGGCCUAUACCACAGCCACAGCCACAGCCACAGCCACGCCAGGUCUGAGCCACAUGUGCAACCUACUACACUGUAGCUUGCAGCAACACUGGAUCCUUAACUCACUGAGUGAGGCCAGGGAUCAAACACACAUCCUCAUGGACGCUAUGUAUGGUUCUUAACCCACUGAGCCUCAGUGGGAACUCCUUGGAGUUUUUUGUUUGUUUUUCCAUAAUUACUGAGCUUAAUUUCAAUUAGCAAUAUUAUAAACUUGAUUAUCUAGUCUCUGGUAAGCUAAUGGACUUACUAAUUUAUACAUCUGGUUCCUAGCUUCUAAUAUGGCCCUGAAAUCCCCACUCCUGGUAUUCAUGCCUUUAUCAUCUCCUCAAUUCUUUAGAGUAUGGCUGGAUUUACUGAUUUGCUUCUAAUAGAAUAUGAUAGAAGUGAUGGGAUAUCAAUUCCAAAAUUGUUUUUAGGAAGACUUUGGUUUCUGCUUGGGUGUUCUUUAGCAUGAUGGCUAGCUCUGCAGAAGCAGUGGCCAUGCUAUGAGGCAGCCUGUGGAGAGGCCCAUGUGAGCAAGCUUGGGAGGAGAUUUUUGAAUCCAGCCAAUAGCUAUGUGAAAGAACAUGAAGUAUAUCCUCCAUCAGUCAAGCCUUAUGAAGACCAUGGCCUUGACUUACAACUUGACUGUAGCCUAAGAGGCCCUGAGUCAGAACUUCUAAGCUGAUCCUGGAUUCCAAAACAACAGAAAUUAUAACACGUUUAUUUUAAGCUGCUAAGUUACAGCAACAAUAGAUAAGUAAUACAUGUUAUAUCCCAAAGAGCAGUGAAUAACACAUUUAAAUCUGCCCUCAUUCUGUCAAUUUUGUUGGCUUCAUCUAAUGACUGGGAAAGAAAUGAAUACAAACUUUGAAAUAUAAGUAGGUCUGUUUCUGCAUUAUAAGAAAAAUGUUUUAUAGAUUUUCACCAUUUUUCCCCCUUUUUAGGGCCAUACCAAGCUGCAUCUGCAAUCUUUAACACACUGAGCAAGGCCACGGAUCAAACCAACAUUCUCAUGGAUACUAUUGGGGUUCUUAACCCACUGAGCUGCAAUGGCAACUCUAAAUUUUCACCAAGUUUUUUUUUUUUAACUCAAUGAAUUUUAGUAUACUUAUAGUUGUACAACCAUCAUCACAACCCAAUUUAAUUACAUUUACAACCCAAAUCCCCAACGCCCCGCCCCCGGGGGUGCUGUCUCCUUUGGUAACCACAAAUUUUUCAAAGUGUGUGAGUCAGUUUCUGUUCUGCAAAUAAGUUCACUGUAUCCUUUUAAAAUUUAUUUAUUUUGCUAUUUUAGGGCCACGCCCGAGGCAUAUGGAGGUGUCCAGGCUAGGGGUCGAAUUGGAGCUAUAGCCACUGCCUACACCACAGCACAGCAAUGCAGGAUCCAAGCCGAGACUGUGACUUACACAGCUCAUGGCAAUACUGGAUCCUUAACCCACCGAUUGAGGCCAGGGAUCGAAUCCAUGUCCUCAUGGAUCCUAGUAGGGCUUGUUAACUGCUGAGCCACGAAGGAAACUCCCACUGUAUCCUUCUUUUAGAUUCCAUGUACAAGUGACAGCAUAUGACAUUUGUGUCUCA